rnacentral:lncRNA from 1 species
CUCCGGUUGUACUUCGUCAUGAUCAAGCUCUAAUCAAGCUUGCUCAUGGGAUGACUUUGGUAAUCUACUUCUAAUUCAUUAUGCAAUUACUAAUCAUGUAUGUUCUGGUUCACAACUCUUUUGAGUACUUUAAUCUAUAGGACGCUAUAGGUGAGAGUUGUAGUAUAGGUGUAAGCGAGAUGCUUAGAUCUAGAUUACUUGUGGAUAUCCCCUCUCUAGCUAGAUCGUGUGGUAGGCCGCUUAGGUGAUAGUUACGUUGGUCCUCUGUAGUCCACCUCUUGUUAGCAGGACGGGUAGGGUUUAUCGGCCUAAGGAUAAGCAUCCUUUGUGGUGUACUCUUAUCACAUGGUUCGUCCCAGACAUAGACAUACCCCUUUGAAGUAGAGAAACCAUAGUUAUCAUCUCUAUUCUGCUACCAUCGCCCAUAUACUAGAUUGCUCUAUUCUCUAUUCCCAUAUUAUCACUCACUGUUAUCCUACCUUUCAUAUUGUUCUUAUUCGAUUCUACCAUCUUUCCUAUUUACACCUAUCUACUAUCUUGGUUAAGUUAGAGCGUAGAUCAGUUCUCCCGUUUCCCUGUCUAUACAAUAAAACCUUUAACCGGGUAAAAGCUUCAACGGUAUCCGUGCGCUUGCGGAUUAUCUGUGUGCGUAUAAAUACCAUAGUACACUCUAGUGCCAUGCUGGGGAUGACAACCUAGUAUUCAAGUGGUGUUAGCAAGUGUCAACAAGCAUUUUUGGCGCCGUUGCCGGGGAAACGGUUGCUGAGUUGACUAUGAACUUGCUUAAUCAUUUUCUAAAAAAAUAAAAAAAUAUAUAUUCUUUUCCUUUUAUCCUUUGCCUCAUCACUGCUAUUCUUUCUUCUUAUCUAAUCCUUAAUCUCUGGUCUAUCAUGAAUUCAAACAUGUCUAUCUAUGAAUUUCAUAGACCUACGGGCAUACAUCUCGAACCACUAAAAUCUUCACAGCCUAUUAUAGCAUCUAGUUUUGAGAUAGACCCCGAAUACAUAGAAUUUGUUCAAAAACAACCUUUCUUAGGAGAAGGUGAAGAAAACCCAUACACACACCUA